GUUUCAGGUUGAUUACAGAGAUAAGAAAUGUGGAAAAAUUUCAUGCAAUCACUUAUCCAAAUGUGUUCGCACAAAAUUAGGCAAAUAUGUCUGCAUCGAAGUAGCAGUUCAUGGAGGAUGGAGUGAAUGGAACCCUUGGGGAGUUUGUUCUGUUACAUGCGGAGGUGGGACUAGAGCACGAACACGCACCUGUGAUAAUCCUACGCCGAGAUUUGGAGGUCAACUCUGCAAUGGACAAUCCACAGAUUCUACAUACUGUAACACGCAUAAUUGUCCGGUGCAUGGAGGAUGGAGUACAUGGGACGCUUG